UAUACUUUUAUUUUAAAUCACACACAUACCGACACGCAGUCCGGGGUGCUCAUUUUUUUGAUUGUUUAAUCUUAAAAUAGAGUCGGAUUAUUAGCGGGGUAUGUGGAGGCUUAAC
rnacentral:sRNA from 1 species